CUCUCUUGCUGUUUAAACAAAAUUGCAUGGCUAGGCACAAGGAUGCCAUCAAUGAAGUGGUAGCAGAAUAAUGGUACAAUUGAAAAAAUGAGAGAGGAUUGUAAACCAUUUUCUGUCAUUUUACAAAACUGAUGCUAGGAUCCAGAUAAAAAUCACACAUUGGCCACCAUAGUGGGCUUACAAACAAUUCUAUUACAAGGAGCGGCAGGACUUGACAUGUAGCAAAGUCAAAAUGCAUCCAGAUACCCCACUGCCAUACUGAUAUCUCAGCUAAUGUUUGCAUAGGGCGGCCCAAUUUCCCUCGACACGGAGAGGGUCAUUAUUAUUAUCUACACAUUUCCAUACAAACUACAGGUUCAUUCUAGAGAAGCUCCCCACUUGCAACCAUUAAAAUAAAAACUACUAGUAACUUUCAGUCCAGUUUAGAAGCUAAAAAUUUCAGGAAAAUCAUGUAUUGUAUGGUCAAGCUCAACGUGUGCCUUACAUACUAUAGAAUAGUUUCUGCACUGGGAAUAAGUUUGAUGCACUUGGCAAAUAGACAAUUGACAUUUCAUUUUCUCUUAGUGAUAUAUAAAAGACUAAAGAUAGCAAGGUUAUAAGCAUUAAGGGUAAGUUCAAAAGGAGCGGAAUCAGAAUCACCAAACUGUUGUUUGUCACUUAUUCGCUUAUACCUGUCCUUUUCAGAAAACACAAUGGGCUAUAAUUAGUCAAGAUGCAACCAUCUACUGGCGCAUUCCAUCUUUAGAUUACCUACAACAACAAGAAGCCUUCCCACCAUGACAAUUGUUCACAACAAGAAACUUGUCAAACAAAGAGUCAUCAGUUCCUUUCUCGUCUUCCUUUAUUUCUUUUCACAUCACCAAUUCUAACAAACUCACCUUGUUUAACUAGGCUAGCCAACUUAUCUCCGCUUAUUUUUCAAAACAAGAAGCUGGCAGCUAAUGUUUUCAUAAACAAGUAAGACAAUUUCGUUGACAGUUGGUAACUAAAUCUUGUGUACAGUAUAUCAUUAGAACACUGGAUCCUUAUCUGCCAAAAUCUGGGGCUGAAUAUAGAAUUCUUGUAUUUUCUUUUGCUUUACAGAAUAUCCGUUUGGUAUUAUCUUGUCAAAUUAUGCAGUUUGUUCCAUUCUCAUGAAUGACAAUGCAACCAUCAACCACGUUACACUAAUUCACAAAAUCCCAAGUUGCUCAAUGGAGAAACUUCUUAAGUGUAGUACACAAUCGAACAAAUGUAUGAAAUCCAAAUUUAGCUGAUUAUUGUUAGCAAAUCAAUUUAGCCAAAAUAUUCAAAGACUUGGAAAGCAUUCUGCUAACAAUAGCUUUCCAAAGAGAAGAAAAAGAUAACUAAUAUGAUCGACCUCUCAAAAAUGACAAAAUUUAGUAAUAGUUAUUAUCGAUUGCAUGAUUUGCAUAAUAACAAACAUAUGAUUUAUUAUUGACAUCAUGAACUUGUUGUCCGUUGUAGGUAAUGAGGUAACAACCUUCAAGAAGCAAUAUCCUUGAUAGGUUCUCUUAAAUACCUCCAAAAGGGCAAUUAGGUCUGUUCUUUUGAGCAUAUAAAUGAUUAAUCACCAAGCCCUGAGCUAUCAGCUAGUCUCCAAACCAAUUAUAAGUUGGAGAGAUCACUCACUCCUCAUAUUAGUAGUAAAGUUACACCUUAACAACUUAAUAGUACAACAGCAAUGGAGAACAAUUCAGGUCAAUGUAGGCCAUGUCACCUUAUGACAUGGUGCUUCGUAAACAUAUGACUGCUUUUGAAGACAGUUUAAUUGGGCACUAGAAUUCCUCGAUUGAAAUAACAUUUAACAUUGGUAACAAACAGUCAACAUAAGACAUUUGUUUAAUUGACUAACUCCAAAAUUCAUGUAGCUGCUACAAGUUCAAAUUGCCAACAUAAUAGCCCCGAUAGUAGCUCAUAACAGGUCAAUCAGAUGAUGUAAACUACAAAUUCGCCUCUACAGCAGAAAAACUAAGCAUUCGUAAAGAUUUUAAAGAUUAGGAAACAAAACUAGAAAAAGCGUAUACAAGGCUAGUGUUAUGUUCAUACAUGAUGAUCUUUUGACCUUGAUAACAUGGCGAGGAUUGACUACUGGAAAUAUAGGACUUUCACAAUCAAUUGGUUAUGAUGUUAUUAUGGACAGUGACACAAUCAUAUAGAUUCUGGAAUGUAAAGGCCUCGAUGGUUCUUAAACUGACCACUUUCUCUUCAGGGGUAUCAUCCUGAUGGAGCAGCCUAAGGUGGUUAUUUUGUAAUGUUUUUUAUAUUAUUUAGGAAACAAAUUACAAUUUUCUGUUCCACAUGUGUAUAUUCCUAUCUGAAUGUGUAGUUUUAUAUGUAUGCUUUCAUGAAACUCAUCAAUGCUUCUCAUACUAAGAACAACACCAAUAAUCAAUUCAGAGAACAGUAUCUUAAUGGCAUCAAGAUUGAGGUAAUCAGUCAAGUGACAAAAAAAACGUCAUGUAAUUCAGAGAACAGUAUCUUAAUGUUUUAUUUUGGCAACAAAAAAACAUUCCGUACUAUGUCAACGAAAGAACAAAAGGGCAUGUAAUUUUCAAAGAAUAAACAACUCUAAUCCAACAUCAUGUGUUUGCUUUCUAAAAUAACUGUUAGCUGAAACAGCAACAUAUGGUCUGGAAGCUUAUCAGAUGUUCCUUAUCACUUGAGUCAUUAUGGGUCAGCCAAGUUCAGACCACCAAGUAAUUUUAAAUACUCGUAGCCAACACCAUGUGACGAAGCCAAGGGCUGAGACUGGCAAAAUCUUAAAGAACAUGAGUAUCAAAAAGAAUUAAUCUAUGGCAUUUGUCAAUUUUCUAUGAUUUUCCAUUAUAUUUUUCCUUGUUGCAUCAUGUUCACAACUAAUAAUGAUGUUGAUAGUAAAAAAGAAGAACAGGAAAGCAUAUGUAGCACAAAACAAAAGGAUUAAAGACAAGAAAGAGCAUGUGCUUACCUUCCCAUGGCAUCGUAAGUCGCUGCAAGAUUGCUAUACACUCCAAGGGUGUCCGGGUGAGACGUCCCACAUUCUUGCUCCAGUACUGCCCUCGCUUCUUCGAACAGCGCGGCUGCCUCGUCGAUCUUAAACAGCUGCACGCACGCCAGCCCCAUCUGGUUCAGCAAAACUCCAAAGAAGGCCGAUUUCCUCUCCCCACUGGCCCUCAGCUUGGCCACAGCACUUUCGAAUGAGCUUCUCGCCUCACCGUACUUGCCAACCAUGUAAUACAUCACGCCCAUCUGAGCCUCGAUCCCUGCCACCGUGCUCCAUUGCCCCGGCGCAUCCUCCAUCAGCUUAAGAGCCUUCUGUAGCAGUUUCAGUGCCUCGUCAGGCUCGUUCAUCGCCUCAUAGAUGGCGGCGAUCUCCAUCAUCCCUCCGGCGAUAUCCUCGUUCGAGGAGCCCGGCACAGGCUUGGCGUAGAUCCUCAGGGCGUUCUCGCAGUAGGACUUGGACUCGCGAAGCUUGCCGGUCUUGUAGUAGAGGUCGGCAAGGCGGACGAGGACGGCAGCAACGGAGGGGUGGUUGUCACCCUUGGUGGACUUGAAGACGGUGAGGGCUUUCUGGUACGAGAAGACGGCCUCGUCAAAGCGGGCGAGGGCGAGGUAGGUGUCGCCGAUGCCGACGUCGACGGCCGCAACGUCAACGUCCUGGCCGUUGGCGAUGAGGGCCAUUGAGGCGAGGACGAGGUGCUCGAGGGCGGACUCGUGGUCGCCCUUGGCCUCGCAGAUGAGGGCCAUGAGGCGGCGGUCGGCGGCCUCCUCCAGGGAAGCCGGGGGGCUGUGCUCACGGUGGAUCUCCAGGGUCUUGCGGCACAGCCUCUCCGCUUCUUCGAACUGCAUCGCUUGGACGUGGGCUUCCGCCAAGUACCUGCCGCAUUUUUCUCUCUGUUAGCGUUACAGAUCAACCAAUUAAUUGAACUGAAGUGAUCAGCGACAACGAACGCCGAGAGGGUUCGGGUUUCGGAUCCCCUCGAAUUAUUGUACGGGUCCAAUUUAUAUCACGCCGUUACCACCCGUACUUUAUGUGAUGCCCACGGCAUGCAAUCCGACGGAAGGCGUUGCGGCACACUACAAGACGAACGGUCCAGAUCGUAUGCGGUGGAACACUACGGUGUCGCAGCACAAAGAGCUGCGCUCAUUGGACUCAGCUAGCGUGCGCCGUGAAGGAUAAUAAGCCUUGAGAACAAAAGUAACGUGCGACGCUACGUAACGGCCGCGGUCCGAACGGAUCUCUAAUAUUUGCACUCAUAACGGGUAGUGCGCACGAUAAUUGACUGGGGACGUUCGACAUUAACGUGCGCCAAGGAACAACAUGGCCGACCGUCAAUCACGGGUCUACUAAGUCGGGUAGCCCCCGCGACGAAGAUAAUGGCGCAUGUCAUCACCAACGAACCCGGCGUUGCUACCGCGAGCCGGUAUCCGCCAGGUUGGCCAACGUGAUCGUCAUAGCUGCCCGAUGGGGCCCCCAGACGAGGGUGCGGCACGUUAGCACAUAGGAUCCGCACAGGCUAACAUGCGCCGGAUCGGCCGGUGGUAACGCGCAUUCCAUGGCGUCGCCCAUAUCGAUUGCGGUGGAACCGAUGGCGGCGAGGACAUGGGAGGCCCGGAAGUAAAAGAAAAGGAGCGGUGUACCAGCAAGCUCACCUGCAGGUCUCGGCGACCCUGGGAUCGCCAUCUCCGAGCGCCUCGAUCUGGAUCUCCAGCCCCUUGGUGUAGCAGACGAUGGACUGCUCCAUCCGCCCAGCCACGGCGUGGGUGUCCCCCAGCUGCAUGUAUCCGGAGAAAGCGGCUAGAGCGUGGUCGGGCCCAAGCGCGGGAUCCGUCGCAGCCACCGCCCGCUCCAGCGCCGCCACCGCCUCCUCGUGCCGCCCCAGGCCACUAUAGAUCGCCGCCGCUACGUGCAGGCUCAUCGCCAGCUCCAGCCGCCUCUCUUCUCCCCCACACCGCUCCAGCGACUGCGACGCCCGGAUCGCGUACUCCAGCGCCUUGCUCGGCCCCUCUCCGGACACGAUCGCCCCCCGCGCCAGCUUCAGCAGGAACGGCCCCAGAUCCGGGUUGUCCAGCGCCGUCUCGUCCAUCACAGCCGGCAGAUCCCGCAGCGCGCUCCCCGCUGCGCUAGCGGCGGAACCAGGCCUCUCCAGGGAGAGGCGCCGCUUGCCGGCAGAGGAAGAUCCGCGCUCCGCGGACCUGACGCGGGAGGAGCCGGGCGUCGGCGAGGGAGUCUUCUUAGGGCCCGGAGACGCCACCCUGGGUUCCCGUGGCGGGUCGGGAUCGUCGGCGGUACGGCGGAUCUGGGAGGCUCCGUCGUCGGGAACGUCGACCCGGAGCGGCGGCGCUUCCGGCGGGGCGACGAGGCCCGGCAUCGUAGCGGCAGCGGAAUGGAAUCUAGGGUUUGGUGAAGGAGGUGGAGAAGAAGGGGACCGAAGACUGGGAGAGGAUGAGCGAGGGAAUUCGGCGGAAGAAUUGGGCCGCAGAUGGGGCGUCCUUUUAGAGAGAUAGAGAGAGAGACGAGUAGGAAAAUGACAGGAAAAUAAAUAAAUAAGGUCGAAUUAUUCAUCACAGAUGACUGCUCUCCACCACUCCCUAUCCUUUUGCUCGCCUGCUUGCUUCAAUCGUACUUUCCUUCUCACACUUCGAUUACCGCUAAUCCACUCGUCAAUCUUAUUAAUUAAUUUCCUAGUUCAGAAAUGCGACAUUAAUUGCUGUCCGUACGCUCCCCGCCACACAACCGCGCGACGCAUUGGUUAGCACCGCGGGGCCCAGAAUGGGCCCCAACAUGCAGCGCAAUAAUGAUAAGCACGUGACCCAAGAUAAUCCAUCACCAUCCGAUCAGGAUCCGACGGUGAAGGAAAAAAGAUAAAAGCAAAAAAGUUAUAAAGCCAACCAGUGGCCGGACUAGAGGCCAGGAUCAAAUGCAUCACGGCCGUUCAUCACGGAUCGUGUACGGGAUUCGGUUGAGAGAGAAGACUACGGAAGGAUCGGCGCGUCGAGUGUCGUGGAAGAGAAGUAAUCAAUGAUGACGGAAAGAAUAAUGUCGACUCUGUGCGGUGUGACUCGAGUCGCGGUCAAUUGGAGUGCGAUGGCUCUGUCUCUCUCUCUCUCUCUCUCUGGUAGACGUACCGACUGGCGACCUAUGUAUGCAUGAUGAGUCACAUGGAUUAGACAGUUAAAUGGAGGUCGAAUAAAGCUGUUCUUAUACGCACCCGUUGAUCGGAUACCCGUCUUUCCCACGCGACCUCUCAUGGGAGGGAACGAUGAUUCGCAGAUGGGGCUCACACGGAUCCCGUGUGGAAACGCAAGUCGAUGGGUGAAUCAUCAAUUGUAUCGAAUACUUUUAUUCUACCCGUACCCAUCAGUGGGGCCUUUUUGCUGUCUCUGAGAACGAGCGAGACAGGUCACACAGGCUGGGAGAAUAACAUAAUGGCAUUGUUUUUUAGUAUUUACAUAUAUUCCUAAAAAUCUGAUAUAUAAGGUGGCCUUACUAAAAAUUAUUUAAUUAUAUUAUUAUUAUUAAGUCACUUUUGGGAUAAGAUUAAGAGUAUUUCAAUUGUUUCUUUGUAUAAACAUAUGUUUUGGUACUAUUUCAAUUUAUGGACACUGUACACGACAGAGAGAGACAGUGGCUGUUUAAGAUUGGGAUGAUAUAAAUAUGGAAUAUGGGAUGGAAGCCAAUCUGCAUCACUCGGUCCAGUGGUUGUUUGAAAUGAAGGUGUCAAAAGAGACUAAUAAUGAUAUGAUAGUGGGUGUGUUUCUCUCUGCCUUAUCACAAGUUUUUGUUGCAAUAUGUUGGAUAUUUUGUGAUUGUGGGCCUCAGCAGUAUGAUUAAGUUGUUAGCCCAUUGCCAUUGGUGAUUGCAUCCCUAGUUUGAUGUUUAGUUUAUUUCUAUUCUAGUUUUAAUUGGUAUUGAGGGAAGUACUGUUAGCUAAUCAAGCCUUUCUUUAGUAAAAGGAUUUGUAUCCAAAUGUAUACUAAUAUCAAGGGUUUUUUUGUUGCUUGCAUAUGUAUGCACAGUCUUUCCUUUAGAGAUAGAAAAAGUCAACUUCAUGUCUUAAGGACAGUAUUAGUUCUAUUUAUUUCUUCUUGACUACCCACCCAAUCAUAUGAUACCAUUACUAACAAAUGAGUGUAUUUUUUAUAGAAUAUUAGAGAAUUAUUAUCUGGGUGGAGUGCUUAAGAGGGUGCAUUUGUUUGAUUGAUGGCUUCUGCUGUCUCUCUGGCUUCAAACUUGGCUAUGAAACUACUGUUGAUUUCUUCGAACAAGAAUCUGCUGCAUAAAAGGCUCUUGAAAGUACUCGAGUAUUAAGUUCUUCCUUGUUCUUUUUCCUUUGUCCUUUACCUUUAGCAGAGAAUAAGAAUUUUCUUCUCUCUCUCUCCAAGACAAGAGCAUGACAGAAGCUUGUAUCUUUUGUCUCCUUGUAAUCAGACCAGCUUCCACCUCUGUUUCUAAGGCAUCUCUUCCUUUUUUUAGUAGGCCAUUUGUAGCUUAGUUGACUUUGUUAUCAGAUUCUACGUAACUUACUGGCCUUAGAUGUGCAUCUUUAAGCUACAUGAAACAAUUGGCUCAACUUGAUAAUGGCCAACCUUUAUUCUCACAGGCAAAUUAUCAGUGAGAAAUAAAGAGAUCACUUUAGAAGCAUUUCUCAUCUAAUCUGUGGGAUCAGAAGAUGACUAUUAAGAGUGAAGUAAUAUGAAUUAAAAGGGGACAAAUGAGGCAAAAG
rnacentral:lncRNA from 1 species